rnacentral:ncRNA from 2 species
CCCCGCGACAAUCGCCGAGCACCCUUGCCUGUGAUCAGGGUCCGCAUUCCGCGGCCCUGAAAUGGCGGGCUGCCGUAGCGGCCGCGUUGCGGCCCAAGGGUGUGCCUGGAAACGGACACGCCUCCCGUACUUGGAAAGGCGAGAGAGGGUCCCAC